rnacentral:rRNA from 1 species
AGUGAACGCUGGCGGCGUGCUUAACACAUGCAAGUCGAACGAGAACGGAAUAUAGCUUGCUAUAUUUGACAGCUAAGUGGCGCACGGGUGAGUAAUGUAUAGAUAACCUGCCCUUAAGAAAGGAAUAACAGUUGGAAACGACUGCUAAUGCCCUAUAUGCCUUUAAUACAUAAGUAUGCAAGGGAAACGAUUUAGUGCUUAAGGAUGGGUCUGUAUGGUAUCAGCUUGUUGGUGAGGUAAUGGCUCACCAAGGCUAUGACGCCUAACUGGUUUGAGAGGAUGAUCAGUCACACUGGAACUGAGACACGGUCCAGACUCCUACGGGAGGCAGCAGUGGGGAAUAUUGCACAAUGGACGAAAGUCUGAUGCAGCAACGCCGCGUGGAGGAUGACACAUUUCGGUGCGUAAACUCCUUUUAUAUAGGAGGAUAAUGACGGUACUAUAUGAAUAAGCACCGGCUAACUCCGUACCAGCAGCCGCCGUAAAAC